GCCCCCGUAGCUCAACGGACAGAGCAACGGCCUUCUAAUCCGUCGGUUCCCGGUUCGAAUCCGGGCGGGGGCACCG
rnacentral:tRNA from 2 species